CCUGGCACUGACUCCAGGACAAGGUUUGCUUUGGGCGCCUCCUGGCCCAGUCUAAAACAGCACCUACCUCCACGCCUCCAUUAGCCCUGGAAUGAUGCCCUUUGUGAGGGGGUGGCCCAGGGGAAUGAUGCCCUUUGUGAGGCAGCAGCAGAUUCCAAGGCUCUGUGGAGAGGGCCGGGCGGAACCUGAGCAGGGCCUGUGGAGAAGAUGGUGUCUGCCACGUUGGGAGCCCUGAACCCCAGGGCCUGGCUCAGCCUCCUCCUCUUGUACCUCAUCCUGGCAGUGAGAGUCCUGCAGCCCCAGCCCCUGAGGCCUGUUCUUGAGGGAACUUCCAGCCUUCCUGGAGCUGUCACAGCCACCCUCUGACCUGAUGGACGAUUGCGGGAUCCGACCCAGGCACACGGAGACCCAGGCAACUCCAGGCCCAGCAGGCGCAAGCAGAAUGGGCCGGACACAGCUGAGUAUUACUAUGGUGCCCACCAGUGACUGACGAGAACCGUCAUAAAACUGUGGUCAGCAGAGGGCUCAGGCUUUCCUGGGGAACCGAGGUAGCACGGAGGGGGCCGCAUAGACACAGGCACUGUGCUCCAGACAGGAGAUGGCACUUUAAUAGUCGUGGCCAGGGUGACAGGACCAUGGUCAGAGGCUGCCUCUCCCUGCCAGGGCCAGCGUGCCAGGCCUGCGGGUGGGAGCCAUGGCAAGAGCAGAGAACAGCAACUUCACCUUUGCCCACUGCCAUUUCCUUCCUGGAAAGUCCUUGGGAGGUGGCCAGGCUCGGCCUGAGCUCAGAGCUCUUGGUAGGGGCUGGGCCGGGGGACAGUGGGCACUUGCAGGUGGCAUGGGCUUUGUCGAGGCAGGAGCCAGGGCUCCGGCAGGGGAAGUAAGGCCGCGACAGGGCUGGGCCCGUGUCCCCAGGAUGGACAUCCUUUGAGGCCUUCCGUCCCGGGCAGCCCGCUGUCCUCCAUAGGUGGAUCUGAUCCAUAUGUUACACUUUUGUUACCAUAUCCCAUGCCUGUGUCUCCCGCCACCCCUGUCCCCCACCCUGCACCAGCGGGACCCCACUUCCAUCCUCCAGUGGUGGUAGUAUCCCUCACGAGCAGUGCUGUGACCUGUCCACAGCUUGCUGUCCUGCAUGGGCUGGGGGCCGGGGGGGGGUGCAGAGGUGGCUGCUACUCCAGGUAGAUGUCCUCCGUGGGGCAGGUGUACUCCACAAACUGCUUGUAGAACUGCUGGAAUGCGCGCCUGCAAGGCAGGGUGCCAGUAAGCAGGUCCCCAGGGCCCUGGGAAUGCUGGACCCUGUCUCCUAGGGAUUGCAUCCCCCCUGAGGGAGGUAGCAGGUAAAGGACAGACCAGCAGCCAACAAGCUUGGAUAUCCCUCCUCUAGUCACCCCACUUCGCUGGCCACCACACUGGGUCUGGAGCCCCAUGAGUUUCCAGGGGGUGCGGGGAGGCUGGGGGGUGGC
rnacentral:lncRNA from 1 species